UGUUCUGUGGCUUAUUUAGUUGAAGCGCCACUCUAGCGAAUACGGAGUCGUGGGUUCGAAUCCCAUCAGAACGC
rnacentral:tRNA from 1 species